UAACUAUCAGUGAUUGGUGCCAAAAACUCAGCCAUAUAUGUCUGACAUACGCCAGAAUUUUUCUUGGUUAUUGAAUUUUUUCAAUCAACUGAUGUUCUACAUAUUCCUGUCUGAUGCCUCAAAAUAAGUGCAUCCAAACAAGCCAACAGUGACUUUUAAUACAAUUAUUAUUGAAGAUGCCAAAGUACAUAUACACCUUGCUCCCAGAUUUUAUAAGCUUGUUAACAGAAAAACAGAAAAGACAGAUACAUUUAUAUAGUCAAGGCUUUUCCUCCAGAUUCCAAUCAAGAGACAAAUAUGGUUACCUUGUGUUAUAUAGUUUACGAAAAUCCCUAGUGAUUGGAGAGGCAUAUGUUCUCUUCGAUGAACUGGAGGGCACUAAAUCACACUUUUAAGAUGAAUGUUCAAUAUGAGAAAUGUUCAAAAAUAUUCCAUACAAUGUAAAACAUCCCUGCAAUAUGAAAUGUGAUGCAAAUAAAUAACAUGAAAUGUA